CCCUCAGGCCACUGUGAUAAUAGACAGUCACCAUUCAGGACAUAUUUAUGCACCCUUCUUUAUGUCAAACAUUGUGUCAGGCACUUGGGAGACACAAGAAGACAUGGUCUGUGUCCUGGAGGAGCCCAUGGCUUGGUGGGCAGCCUGUUAGUUUAUCCAAGCCACUGCAGAGAGGGGAAGGGCCAAAGACAGCUCAGGCCCAGGUCGCCUGUACCAAACAGGCAGUGGUUAGAGAGGAGGAGCCUGGCUGGUCAGUGGGAAGAACAGGGCCUAGCCCUCUCCUCUGCCUCACUGUCACCACCUCCAUCACAUCACACAAUAGCAAGGGACAAGAAGAAGAGGAGCACAGCCUUGGAGAAGUGCCCUUGAAUCUUCCUCUGCCGAAUAAGUAUCCUGGCCCAGGAUGCGCAGCCAUGCCCCAUGGCAAAAACUAGAGGAAAAAUAAUUUGCAUUCCUGAGGCUUCUGCUCCGACCCUGACAGAUCUCUCUCAUCCAGGAAAUCUGGCAGAACAGCGCUCUCAGCUAAAAGCCUCAAUCCUGGAGCCAAUGGAUUCGGACAGCAACUUUGCACUCCAAUCAAAUAAAAACGUUCUUCUCUGCUGAGGAGAGGGGAGUAGGCCCCAGAAGUGAGCUCCUGGGCUGAGAAGAGCCGGCGAGGGCUUCCAGCCUGUGUGGACCCGCAAGAAGUAAAGUGGGCGGCCCAGGGGCAGAGGAUGCGACUCCUAGACUGAGAUUGAAUCCUCCACGUGUCCACACGCGGUCCCCUGUGGGCGCGCACACAUCUCCAUCUGUUCUUUCCCCCGGCUUCCAGCUCCUACAAGACGCAGAGAGGGAAGCACCCAGACUCCUGGCUCUAGGGCGCCUUCCGCCUCUCCCCUUCCUUCUCCCAGGAUCUCUUAACUGGGAAACUAUAAUCUAGGAGGAAAAUCUAGGAGGGCAAGAAAAGGGGCUGUUCUGUAAGACCUGUUUGUAAGCCUCCUUCUCCCGUGCAAUCUUGGGAACCCCACAACCUCCUCCCACUGCACCGUACGCACUGCACAUAUCCGAACCUACAUUACUUCCCAAUCCAGGCAAACACAUCUCACAUCACAUACGAACAACUAACUCCCUAGAAACGCCUACUUCUCUCGUGUCGUUUCCACACACGCCCUUAUCCCAGGCAAACAGCUUUCGCUCAAAUACCAACCCCACCCCCCACAGGAGCACCUGCCUGGCCCUGACGGUAGCAUGCGCACGCACGCAGAAAUCCCUUCCAGCCGCAUCCCGGGCUUCAUUGUCAAUUAGAUGAGUGACAGAAUGGAAACAGACAAGUCAAUAAAUCAAGUCUAGAAACA